AGAUUAAACUAAAGAGUUUGAUCCUGGCUCAGAUUGAACGCUGGCGGCAUGCCUUACACAUGCAAGUCGAACGGCAGCAUAGGAGCUUGCUCCUGAUGGCGAGUGGCG
rnacentral:rRNA from 1 species